AUACUUACCUGGACGGGGUCAAUGGGUGAACAAGAAGGCCCAUGGCCUAGGCGGGCGACCUCCAUUGCACUGAGGAGGGGUGCCAGCUUAACAUCUCCCCAAGUGGGAGAGUGUACGUCAUAAUUUGUGAGAGCGGGGGUACGCGUUCGCGCGGCCCCUAC
rnacentral:snRNA from 14 species